UGCCCGAGGUGGGAAUCGAACCCACAUGUCCUUGCGGACAACGGAUUUUAAGUCCGUUGCGUCUGCCUAUUCCGCCACUCGGGC
rnacentral:tRNA from 1 species